AAGACCUGAACGCUGCGGUGCGCUGCGCUGCCACUCCUUUGCAACGAUUGCAACUGCAGCAGGCUCGGCUCGCACCGCAAAGAGAAAGGCGUUGCUGCUUGGUGGUCCAUCGCGGCAGCACCCCUUCUUUUCUGCUGCUCGAGCUUAUGUCUAGCACCACAUCAUUCGCACCCGGAUGCUCCGUGGAAGCAGCUGAGCGAGCUGUGCACCGAUGCCGGGGCCUCAGCCGUUUUUCAGAUAGAGCCCCGGUCCUUCGUAAGUGCCGCACUGUUGCCCCCCCCCUCCUCUCCCCGGCACGCGCUGGAGGCUGCCGUGGGAAAGCGAUCCGGAGCAGCCUGCCGAAGCGCGGAGCAAGAAACCGAGCCGCGGCAAGUGACGCAGCAGCAGCAGGUGCUCAGGCUCUCUGUGCCUGACUCCUGACCCAUGUAUCGUUGCGUUUCCGAUGAAGGCCUAUCGACAUUAUGGGAGGCGGUCAAGAGCAAGCCACCUGCUCCGCGUUUAGACUGGGGACGGCACGAGCGGCUGCACAUGCGGGAGUGGCCACGCGCCUACAGUGGACUCACCGGCUUUGCCCGCACUAUCCGCGCGAAGGGCGCCCUAACCCUCGAGUGCAACCGUCAUGCCGCGGCGCGGCUGUAGGAGGAGCUGGCGGGCGUCUGCAAGGGCGCUGCCAACUACCACGCCGACUACGGUAACAGCGACGAUGGCGAGUGACAUGGCACAUCGACUCACUACUACUAUCAUGAGGUGGCACCGUGGUACGACCAGGAAGACAGGCGCGAAGGUGUUUUCCUUUUCUUUGCGGACAAUGGCUACGACAGCUCCGAUGAAGAUGAAGGGGACGAGCGCGAGAUGUUCUUUGGCGAGCGUAGACCGCCAACCGUGAUGAGAACGGGCGGCGGCAGUCAUGGCGUUGGUGGUGGCUGUGCUCCGCGCUACGUAGAUGCUGCCGUGAUGCAGCGAAUGGCCGAGCUGACGCAAGAGACAGCUCAGCUGCGUGGCGAGGUAGCACGGCUGCGAGAGGAACAGAAGCUUCAACGGUGAUGAGAAGAGGGGGAGAUGCGGGUGCUCCAUGGUCAGAGUCGGGGAAUCGAUUUGAGCGCCGAAUGGCGGGUGCGUCUCGACUGCACGGCGCAUGACGUCGCCGGCUAGCAAGGUCGCAUGUUUGAGAGAGAAGGCGCGGCACGAUCUCUGCGCGGCUCUGUCUCCGUGUCUGAUCGUUUCCAGUACGCCAUUCCUUCUUUUGCCGGUAUGUGUGUGUUUGCUCUUUGAUUCCCUCGCUUGCGGCUCCCUCGCUGUCCCACUCUGGUUUGCACAGCGGUGGGGCGCGCACUCCCAUGCGCUCGUCUGUGUGCACCGUAUGACGCGAGUGUGCAGCCCUCUCCCCUUGAUCACUGCUUUCGUGUACCUUGCUCUUUCCUUUCGGGCGCUGCUGCACACCUGUCAGCCCUCUUCCUGUUUACUUGAAAGAGGUGAGACAGCAGCGAGGCAGCUGUCUUCGUGCAACGUGAUGUGCCACUGACGCGAGCGUGUGUGGUCACCGUGCGUACGAGCACCACAGUAGCACCGACGAACGACAGAUUGACCUGACUCUGGGAACGCUACUACAAACGCCGUCCCUCUCUCCUCCUGGUGGACGAGGAGGGCAGGACGCGGCAGCGCACGGGUUUUCUGAGAGCCCAGUCCGCUGUGGUGUCGUCGAUCUCGUUCCUGGCGGUUGCUAUGCCAACUCUCACGCACACGGAGGGAAAAGGUUGUGUAGAGGCACUGUGAAGGUGAGCACCACCUGGUGCAAACCCAUGCCGACACCCUCGUCGUCAUGCUCUGCUCUGCAUGCGCCCGUGCGCCCUUCAACUCUUUCUCCUCGCGCUCGUGUCCCCCCACAUCAUGGACUUGUGGCGCGCUGGACAUCUGGAUCUGCUCCCCAUCCUCCCCGUCCUCCACUGCCUCUCUUGCAUCUCCUAG
rnacentral:misc_RNA from 1 species